GAUGAACGCUGGCGGCGUGCCUAAUACAUGCAAGUCGAGCGAACGGACGAGAAGCUUGCUUCUCUGAUGUUAGCGGCGGACGGGUGAGUAACACGUGGAUAACCUACCUAUAAGACUGGGAUAACUUCGGGAAACCGGAGCUAAUACCGGAUAAUAUUUUGAACCGCAUGGUUCAAAAGUGAAAGACGGUCUUGCUGUCACUUAUAGAUGGAUCCGCGCUGCAUUAGCUAGUUGGUAAGGUAACGGCUUACCAAGGCAACGAUGCAUAGCCGACCUGAGAGGGUGAUCGGCCACCCUGGAACUGAGACACGGUCCAGACUCCUACGGGAGGCAGCAGUAGGGAAUCUUCCGCAAUGGGCGAAAGCCUGACGGAGCAACGCCGCGUGAGUGAUGAAGGUCUUCGGAUCGUAAUGCUCUGUUAUUAGGGAAGAACAUAUGUGUAAGUAACUGUGCACAUCUUGACGGUACCUAAUCAGAAAGCCACGGCUAACUACGUG
rnacentral:rRNA from 1 species